UGGUGUGUUUUUGUCUUGGGGUUUUGUGGGAUGUCUAGUGUAGUCUAUGGCUGCCUGAGGCGGUUCUCAAUCAGAGUCAGGUGAUUAUCGUUGUCUCUGAUUGGGAACUAUAUUUUGGCAGCCAUAUUCUUUGUGUGUUUCGUGGGUGAUUGUUCCUGUCUCUGUGUUUAGUUUCACUAGAUAGGCUGUAUAGUUUUUUCACGUUUCCAUCUGUUGUUUUUGUACAUUUCGGUAUUUUAAUGUCAAGUCAUUUUUCCAUCAUUAAACAUGAGUAACCACCACGCUGCAUUUUGGUCCGCUCCUUCUUCAACAGAGGAAAGUCGUUACAGUCUGAAUAUUUUCUGAAUACACUUUCUGAAUACACUGUAUGUAUAUGUAACAAAAAAGCUGCUUGACCGUUGGUAUGAGGUUCUUACUGUAUAAUGCAGUUUAUUUAGUAUCUGAGUUAAAGCCAUUCCGCAUGGAAGAGUGGGACAAAAUUCCUUAAUUGGACCCAUGUCAUCCAAAACAUUGACUCAAGUUGGCCAAAAAAUAAUCUGGAUACACCUGGAUGCACUUUUGGAAAAAUGUUCUAUGGAGAGAUGAUUCAAAGUAUAACUUUUUGGACGAGAUGGGUCCCAUUAUGCCUGGCGAAAACCAAACACUGCAUUCCACAGUAAGAACCUCUUACCAACGGUCAAGCAUUUUGGUGGUAGCGUGAUGGUUUGGAGAUGGCUUUGGUGCCACAGGAUCUGUACGACUUGCCUUAAUAGAAGGAACUAUGAAUUCUCCUCUGAUUUCUAUAGGAUAAUAUCGGGGCAUCUGGCUGUGAGCUGAAGCUGAAGUGCAAUGCAGCAAGACUAUGAUGCAAAACACAAUUUGAUGUUUUAGAAUGGUCCAGUCAAAGUCCAGACCUAAUCCCAAAUGAGAUGCUGUGGCAGGAUUUGAAACGAGCAGUACAUGCUUGAAAAUACCCCCAAAGUAUCUGAGUUAAAGCCAUUCCACAUGGAAGAGUGGGCCAACAUUCCUCCACAACAACAUGAGAGACUGAUCAACAACUACAGGAAGCGUUUGGUUGAAGUGAUAAGUGGCAGAACUAUGGACUAUCCUCUGGUGUGGGUUUUCAUCCUGGUGCUGCUCAACUUCACUACUGGUAAAGUAGACAAUACGCUCAUUCUGGGAAAUAUAUUGCUCCCUAUUUGUGCUAUAUGUCACAAACGCUUUGUUAAAUAAGUAACAGGUUGUUCAAAUGUCUUUAUUCUGUUGAUGCACUUCAGUUUGGUUGCAGUCAUUGUGGCUAAAGGAGGGACAAAUAGUGUAAAUGGCCAAUUACUUUUUAGCAUCGAGGAAUUGGGUGUUGAUUAACUUUUUUCAUGACAUAAAUAAAAUAGUUUUUGUAAACUCCGGUAAAGGUUCCCUUUAUCUAAUAUUGGGUUUUGGUUGAAGAUCUGAUAACAUUCGGUAUCAAAACUAUGCAGAAAUAUAGAACAUCAAAAAGAGGCAAAUACUUUUUUACGGCGCUGUAAGUGUUUUCUUGACAGGUUCAAUGUGAACAGUGUCUUAUGAGCCCACGUUGCCUCAGCCACUGUGGAUGGAUCAUGAGUUUCAACUGGGUCAGAGAACAGUAUACCAUAAGCAACAUGAAAACACCCCUGUGCGUCAACAAAAAAUACAGCGGGAAAAAAGGUACUUGGGCAAAACAGGGCGUGGGUAGUUGGGUAGGUGUGUGUGAGUGUGUUCUGGCGGCAGGUAGGGUGGGCAGGUACAUUGGCAUCACCUAACUAUUUGUUGAUUGAGAGGAGACUGUGACUGUGCAGUAUUGACAUCUUUCGAUUUAUCAAGAAGUCUGGACAGUCAUUUGGUUCAUAGGAAAGUGUCCCAUUUCUGAUCCGUGGUGUUUGAUAAGUGUCAGAACUAUGGACCAUCCUCUGGUGUUGGUUCUCAUCCUGGUGCUGCUCAACUUCAAUACAGAUGUCUCUGGCCAGGUGAUGGUUCCCUCGAAGAACCCCUUAGCUGUGGGCAGUAAUGUCACCCUGAACCUAGUUCCUGAAAGCCCCAUCAACAUAGGGACCUGGUCAUAUGAAACUACAACCAUUGUACUUUUCUAUCCUGGUGGCAGUAUUGUGAGUACAAGUUAUCAAGGCAGAAAAUCAUUCAACCAAUCCUCCGCAGAGCUGUCCAUAAGCUCUCUCCAACUCAACGACUCAGGUCUGUAUACCGUACAGGGAAUGGAGCCAGUCCUGAACGCUGUGGUGACCUUGUCUGUCCAGGAGCCCAUUUCAAACGUGACUCUAAGAGCCAACGCCACUGAUCUAGUGGAAUUAAACGACACUGCCAUUUUCACCUGCUCCGUCUCCUCUGGCACCUCCCUCUCCUACCGCUGGAUGAAUGGCAGCUCAGAGGUUGCAGCCAGUGACCGAGUUCGGCUUGGGGAAGGGGAAGGGAGAGGAUGAAUGCCUUCAACUGAAAUGUGUCUUCCACAAUUGGGGCGGCAGGGUAGCCUAGUGGUUAGAGCGUUGGACUGGUAACCAAAAGGUUGCAAGUUCAAAUCCCCGAGCUGACAAGGUACAAAUCUGUCGUUCUGAACCUGAACAUGCAGUUAACCCACUGUUCCUAGGCCAUCAUUGAAAAUAAGAAUUUGUUCUUAACUGACUUGCCUAGUAAAAUAAAGGUAAAAAUAAAAUUAACCCAACCGCAGGGGACUGCCUUAAAUCGACAUCCACAUCUUCAGGGCCCAAGGAACAGUGGGGUGACUGUGUUGCUCAGUGGCAUAAUGACAGAUUUUUAACAUGUCAGCUCAGGGAUUCGACCCAGCAACCUUUCGGUUACUGUACUAAUACAUCAAACUGUAACACGCUACAGAAACAGGAGAUGGGCUCCUGCUCCUAUGAGCUGUUCCAACUUGCACAAUCCAAGGCUUCAGGAAGGCUACUUACUUACUAAUCUUUGUCAAAAUAAUCAAACCAUAAGACUAACCAUACUGUCUUGUAUUUAACAGUUGGACCAGAGAGACCUGAUGUAACUAGUCCAGAUAUAGCAAUGACAGGACACAUUGUGACCUUCAACUGCUCGGCCUCCUCUCAGCCUCCCAGCCAGUUCAGCUGGUUCUUCAAUGGCUCCCAGGUGGCAACUGGCUCAGUGUAUAAGACUGGCCCACUGACCUUAGCCAGUCAUGGGGAGUACACCUGUGUGGCCUUCAACAACAUCACUGACAGAAACAGCACUGUCUCCAAGAUGCUCACUGUUGUUGCGCCAAUCACCUCAGUGUCCAUAAGCACCGGUGGAACCCAGGCGAUAGAGGGUGACUCCUUUACAAUGACUUGCAAUAUUGUCGGUGAUCCUAGCUCCAUUCACUGGUGGAAGAACCACACGUCAGUGCGUCUGGAUAACAGGACACACGUCUCUUUCGACAACAGAACACUGACCUUCAACCCUGUACAGCAUUCAGACUAUGGAGAAUAUCAGUGUAUGGCCAGAAAUAGUGUGAGCAAUAGAACUAGCACCCGCUACACACUCCUAGUGAAUUAUGGACCCAAGCAACCUGUGAUAGCUGGUGCACCCAUUGCUGAAACAGAUCAAAGAGUGACAUUCAACUGCUCAGCCUCCUCUCAGCCUCCCAGCCAGUUCAGCUGGUUCUUCAAUGGCUCCCAGGUGGUGACUGGCUCAGUGUAUGAGACUGGCCCACUGACCUUAGCCAGUCAUGGGGAGUACACCUGUAUGGCCUUCAACAACGUCACUGGCAGAAACAGCACUGUCUCCAAGAUGCUCAUUGUCAUUGGUAAAUCAGACUACAGAUUGUUUGCUUUGUUGUGUUAAUUUACGAUCUGAUAAGAGGACAAAUAUCGCAAAAUGCACAGAGUAUAGCAAAUAUUAGGAAUACCUUCCUAAUACUGACUUUCCCUCAGAAAAGCUUCAAUUCGUUGGGGCUUGGAGUCUACAGGAUGUCGAAAGCAUUCCACAGGAAUUCCGGCCAAUGUUGACUCCAAUGCUUCCAAUAAAAAGCAUGAGCUGGUGCACACCGAGAGAAAAGUAUUGAGCUGGUGCACACCGAGAGAAAAGUAUUGAGCUGGUGCACACCGAGAGAAAAGUAUGAGCUGGUGCACACCGAGAGAAAAGCAUGAGCUGGUGCACACCGAGAGAAAAGUAUUGAGCUGGUGCACACCAGAGAAAAGUAUUGUGUGUAGAGGUGCUGACUAACUGCAAAUAAACUGUAAGCUAUAGAGUCGCACACUCUAUAUAUACUCUCUAUAUAUAAACUUUCAAUAAUAUCUGCGCUUUCUUCACGAGGCACAGUGAUGCUGAA